ACUACGGGCGGCAGCAGUGGGGAAUAUUGCACAAUGGGCGCAAGCCUGAUGCAGCCAUGCCGCGUGUGUGAAGAAGGCCUUCGGGUUGUAAAGCACUUUCAGCGGGGAGGAAGGCGUUAAGGUUAAUAACCUUGGCGAUUGACGUUACCCGCAGAAGAAGCACCGGCUGACUCCGUGCCAGCAGCCGCGGUAAUACGGAGGGUGCAAGCGUUAAUCGGAAUUACUGGGCGUAAAGCGCACGCAGGCGGUCUGUCAAGUCGGAUGUGAAAUCCCCGGGCUCAACCUGGGAACUGCAUUCGAAACUGGCAGGCUAGAGUCUUGUAGAGGGGGGUAGAAUUCCAGGUGUAGCGGUGAAAUGCGUAGAGAUCUGGAGGAAUACCGGUGGCGAAGGCGGCCCCCUGGACAAAGACUGACGCUCAGGUGCGAAAGCGUGGGGAGCAAACAGGAUUAGAUACCCUAGUAGUC
rnacentral:rRNA from 1 species